rnacentral:lncRNA from 1 species
GGUGCUGCCAUGAGCUAUGGUGUAGGUCGAAGAGACAGCUCAGACCCUGCAUUGCUGUGGCUGUGGUGUAGGCCGGCAGCUAUAGCUCUGAUUUAACUCCUAGCCUGGGAACCAUGGGUGUAGCCCUAAAAAGACAAAAAAAAAAGUGAGCGUGUUGACUGCCCCCCGCCCCCCUGCGCGCCCCAGCGUGGGAUCCAGAGGAGGAAGUGAUUGCGUCUGUUCGGGCUGAGCCAGAGGGGCUUUGUCUCUUAGUCCCCUCCCUCCAGGCACCUGACACCAGAACUCACGUCCCCCCAUGUUUGUGGCAGCACAUGCUUGGCCUCCAGGCUCCUGGAGAAAUGCGGGGAGUCUCCAGGUUCGCUUUGGUGCCCCUGUGCAUGACCGGGAAGUAGGGUGCUGCCCCCAUGGGCUCUCCCGCUGUUAAAUGCCCUAAGCUGAGCCCAAGCACAGACCCUGGACCUGGAGCCAAAGGGCCAGUGUCGCUGUUCCGGCCAAAUAAUCGCCUCUAGCUAUUUUUAUCUGGAGAGAAGGCACCUGAUAUUUGCAAACAAAACCAGCUACACGCUGAAUGGGGGAAAGUGCUUGGCCAGAUCGCUUGGCCUGAUCGAAUUUCUUAGGACUUACGCAGAAAGCUUCAGCUUCUCCUUAAGCCCAGGGCCAAGGACAAAGACGAGUGCUGGGCCAGGCCCCAGGAUGCAGGGGGAGCCAAGAGACAGGCCCACAGAUGCUCAGAGCUGCCAUCUGGACCUGCGUUUCCCCCCGUGUGAAACAUGUUCCACCUGAUUUCAAGGUAAGUGGGUUUCCUUUGGUUGUUGCUGGUGAUGAUUUUUACUGUGAUAAAAUAUAUCUAACAUAAAAUUGACCCUUUUAGCCUUCUGUUAAGAGUAUAGUUCAGGAGUUCCCUGGUGGAACAGUGGGUUAAGGAUCUGGUGUUGUCACUGCUGUGAUUCUGGUCACUGCUGUGGUACAGGUUUUUC